rnacentral:rRNA from 1 species
GUUGGGUAGGGGAGCGUUCUGUAAGCCUGUGAAGGUGUGCUGUGAGGCAUGCUGGAGGUAUCAGAAGUGCGAAUGCUGACAUAAGUAACGAUAAUGCGGGUGAAAAACCCGCACGCCGGAAGACCAAGGGUUCCUGUCCAACGUUAAUCGGGGCAGGGUGAGUCGACCCCUAAGGCGAGGCAGAAAUGCGUAGUCGAUGGGAAACGGGUUAAUAUUCCCGUACUGGUGAUAAUUGCGAUGGGGGGACGGAGAAGGCUAGGCUAUCCGGGCGACGGUUGUCCCGGUUUAAGGAUGUAGGCAGGUGAAUUAGGCAAAUCCGGUUCACUACAUGCUGAGGUCCGAUGACGAGUCACUACGGUGAUGAAGUAGCUCAUGCCCCGCUUCCAGGAAAAGCCUCUAAGCUCUAGAUUAUCAUUAAUCGUACCCCAAACCGACACAGGUGGUCAGGUAGAGAAUACUCAGGCGCUUGAGAGAACUCGGGUGAAGGAACUAGGCAAAAUGGUGCCGUAACUUCGGGAGAAGGCACGCUGGCAUUAGGUGAAGUGGUUUACCCAUGGAGCUGAAGCCAGUCGCAGAUACCAGCUGGCUGCAACUGUUUAUUAAAAACACAGCACUGUGCAAACACGAAAGUGGACGUAUACGGUGUGACGCCUGCCCGGUGCUGGAAGGUUAAUUGAUGGGGUUAUCCGUAAGGAGAAGCUCUUGAUCGAAGCCCCAGUAAACGGCGGCCGUAACUAUAACGGUCCUAAGGUAGCGAAAUUCCUUGUCGGGUAAGUUCCGACCUGCACGAAUGGCGUAAUGAUGGCCAGGCUGUCUCCACCCGAGACUCAGUGAAAUUGAACUCGCUGUGAAGAUGCAGUGUACCCGCGGCAAGACGGAAAGACCCCGUGAACCUUUACUAUAGCUUGACACUGAACAUUGAGCCUUGAUGUGUAGGAUAGGUGGGAGGCUUUGAAGUGUGGACGCCAGUCUGCAUGGAGCCAACCUUGAAAUACCACCCUUUAAUGUUUGAUGUUCUAACGUUGCCCCGUUAUCCGGGGUGCGGACAGUGUCUGGUGGGUAGUUUGACUGGGGCGGUCUCCUCCCAAAGAGUAACGGAGGAGCACGAAGGUUGGCUAAGCAUGGUCGGACAUCAUGCGGUUAGUGCAAAGGCAUAAGCCAGCUUGACUGCGAGAGUGACGGCUCGAGCAGGUACGAAAGUAGGUCUUAGUGAUCCGGUGGUUCUGAAUGGAAGGGCCAUCGCUCAACGGAUAAAAGGUACUCCGGGGAUAACAGGCUGAUACCGCCCAAGAGUUCAUAUCGACGGCGGUGUUUGGCACCUCGAUGUCGGCUCAUCACAUCCUGGGGCUGAAGUAGGUCCCAAGGGUACGGCUGUUCGCCGUUUAAAGUGGUACGCGAGCUGGGUUUAGAACGUCGUGAGACAGUUCGGUCCCUAUCUGCCGUGGGCGUUGGAAGAUUGAAAGGGGCUGCUCCUAGUACGAGAGGACCGGAGUGGACGCACCACUGGUGUUCGGGUUGUCAUGCCAAUGGCAUUGCCCGGUAGCUAAGUGCGGAAGAGAUAACCGCUGAAAGCAUCUAAGCGGGAAACUUGCCUUGAGAUGAGUCUUCCCUGACUCUUUAAGGGUCCUAAAGGAACGUUUAAGACUAAGACGUUGAUAGGUUGGGUGUGUAAGCGUAGCGAUACGUUGAGCUAACCAAUACUAAUGAACCGUGAGGCUUAACCUG